GACGAACGCUGGCGGCGUGCCUAACACAUGCAAGUCGAGCGGAGACAGUUUGGAGCUUGCUUUGAACUGUUUUAGCGGCGGACGGGUGAGUAACGCGUGAGCAACCUCUCUCUCAGUGGGGAAUAACACAGGGAAACUUGUACUAAUACCGCAUGGGACCACGGCCUGGCAUCGGGCUGGGGUGAAAGAUUAAUCGCUGAGAGGUGGGCUCGCGUCCGAUUAGCUAGUUGGUGGGGUAACGGCCUACCAAGGCGAUGAUCGGUAGCCGAACUGAGAGGUUGAUCAGCCGCAUUGGGACUGAGACACGGCCCAGACUCCUACGGGAGGCAGCAGUGGGGGAUAUUGCACAAUGGGGGAAACCCUGAUGCAGCAACGCCGCGUGAGGGAAGAAGGUCUUCGGAUUGUAAACCUAAGUUGUCAGGGACGAACAAAUGACGGUACCUGAAGAGAAAGCUCCGGCUAACUACGUG
rnacentral:rRNA from 1 species